CUUACCUUUGUGUUUGUCUUAUUUGUUAAUCUUUCUGUUGCCUGUCUAUCUGUCUGUGGGUCUUCAUCAUGAGCGAUUCAGAGCUUGAGGAUCUGCUCCAGAGUUCUGACGACCUGGCUCAUAAGCUGGACCUGCAAGAGGUGGAUGACUUGCUGGGUGAGCUCCAGAAAGAGCAAGCUAUUGCACCUCUGCCAAAAGUGAAGUGGAAGAAGACAGAGAGCGAUGGCAACUUAAUCCGAAUACCACACUCAAGGCGGCGUCAGUCUAAACAGGAUAGCUGCAGUCAGAAGACUAAUCCUCCUGUUGAUGCUCCUGACAAUAGCUCUGAGGUGGUCUUUGCUCCAGAGGCUAUUGAGGGGUAUUUAGACGACCUCCAGCUAUCAUUGUGUGAUGCCACAGGAGAUGAGAUGGAAGCACCAACCCCAAGACCUCUUCUGGCUUCAUCCAACUGGAGCAUCAGAAAAAACUAUAUUUUCAGAAAACUGGACCCAGGGCUUAAACCGAC
ensembl:lncRNA